CAGCUGCUGCUGAGCUGUGACCACUCACACCUGUUCAUCAUCACCUUGAUCCCCAGCUGCUGCUAUAUAAGGACGGAUCUUCCCCCUGCACGGCGUCAGAUUGUUGUGAAACCCUCAGCGUUGCCUCUCCUGUCCCCGAUCCUGACCCCCACCACUGGCUUUGGACCUUCCGGCUUCAACCCCCUGUCUGUCUGACCCGGAGAUCUGGAACCCGUUUUGAUCUGGAUUUGGACCUGCUGGCUCUGACCCCCUGUCUGUCUGACCCUGAGAUCUAGAAUUGCCACCCUGAUUUGGAUUCCCUGGUUCUGACCCUGGCCUGUCUGACCAAGAAAUUGUUUAUUUCCUAUUAAACACCAGUUUUUGUAUUUACUGUUCAGUCCCUGCGUCCAUCAGUUCCUGAACGUGUCAGAAACGACUUGCC